GUAGGUGGCAAGCGUUGUCCGGAAUUAUUGGGCGUAAAGCGCGCGCAGGCGGUUCUUUAAGUCAGAUGUGAAAGCCCACGGCUCAACCGUGGAGGGUCAUUGGAAACUGGAGAACUUGAGUACAGAAGAGGAAAGCGGAAUUCCACGUGUAGCGGUGAAAUGCGUAGAGAUGUGGAGGAACACCAGUGGCGAAGGCGGCUUUCUGGUCUGUAACUGACGCUGAGGCGCGAAAGCGUGGGGAGCAAACAGGAUUAGAUACCCUGGUAGUCCACGCCGUAAACGAUGAGUGCUAAGUGUUAGGGGGGUUUCCGCCCCCCUUAGUGCUGCAGCUAACGCAUUAAGCACUCCGCCUGGGAGUACGGCCGCAAGGCUG
rnacentral:rRNA from 1 species